AACGAACGCUGGCGGCGCGCCUAAUACAUGCAAGUCGAGCGAGAAGGUGUAGCAAUACACUUGUAAAGCGGCGAACGGGUGAGGAAUGCAUGGGUAACCUACCCUCGAGUGGGGAAUAACUAGCCGAAAGGUUAGCUAAUACCGCAUACGUUUCCGGAACUUCGGUUUCGGAAAGAAAGCAAUACCGUGGGUAUUGCGCUCCUGGAUGGGCUCAUGUCCUAUCAGCUUGUUGGUGAGGUAACGGCUCACCAAGGCUUCGACGGGUAGCUGGUCUGAGAGGACGAUCAGCCACACUGGCACUGCGACACGGGCCAGACUCCUACGGGAGGCAGCAGUAAGGAAUAUUGCGCAAUGGACGAAAGUCUGACGCAGCGACGCCGCGUGGGGGAUGAAGGUCUUCGGAUUGUAAACCCCUUUCGGGAGGGAAGAUGGAGUGGGUAACCACUUGGACGGUACCUCCAGAAGCAGCCACGGCUAACUUCGUGCCAG
rnacentral:rRNA from 1 species